UACAGAGGGGGCGAGCGUUGUUCGGAAUUACUGGGCGUAAAGGGCGCGUAGGCGGCCUUCUAAGUCGAACGUGAAAUCCCCGGGCUCAACCCAGGAACUGCGUCCGAUACUGGUUGGCUUGAAUCCGGGAGAGGGAUGUGGAAUUCCAGGUGUAGCGGUGAAAUGCGUAGAUAUCUGGAGGAACACCGGUGGCGAAGGCGACAUCCUGGACCGGCAUUGACGCUGAGGCGCGAAAGCCAGGGGAGCAAACGGG
rnacentral:rRNA from 1 species